GCAUUUCAUUUGGAGCUCUGUUGUUGAGGCCAUGUUUUCUGUUAAUGAACCUGCCGCAACAGCUUGUUAAGGUCUGCAUGGCAGGCGGGUGGCUGCAAGCCUAUAGCCCCAUGAAACAAUAGGCCUGAAGAGCACUGGUGUGAGUGAAAGUCAGGGAGAUUAAUGAAGAGGAAGAGAGGAAGAGUUAAGUAGAAGAGCCCUGCCUUCUGAUCAUGUUGGUGUUGUGUGGAGGGGUGGAGGCACACCUCACUGCUUGGAAAAAACACUCAGACAGCAACUAACCAGUUGUCCUCAAGACACUGCAUCAUCCUCCAUCCACUUAUUGAUCUGCUAAACUUCAAAUUUCCGUUUCCGAUCCUUGAUUUUGCUUUCCCUGGUCUCAUCUCAUCCUGUCCUGGAGGAUCUGAGAAAAAGUGCUGCACCUCAAAUCUGAUCAAAGGGUGCUGACCCUGUUGUUCCAACAGGCUGUGAAUGUCGGCAGCAUCAUGACCAGCGUCAACUCUCCAGCCAGCCUGCUUGCCCGCAACCACUUCUACAGAAGUUUGCCCUCAAGUCCAGGAGUGAUGAAUGCACCUUACAGCUGUCAGAACAACUCUGCCAUGCAUGAACAGAAUCAGGUCACCUCUUGGAUCAGCAUGGGAGUUCCUCCUGCAUUGCAGGUUGCCAUGGGAACCAAAGGAUUAUCGAUGGAGAUCGUUCUGGGUCCCUCUUCCUCUCCCAAAACCAAACCACCCAAUCCUGGUGACCAACAUGUUAAGUAGACGAAGCAAAAGCAUCUCAUUGGUUGACAGCCUGAAAGUCCCCGGAGUUCUCAACAGAUGUCAAAUAAAGAUGCAGGAAGACAGACGUUUAAGAGGAAAACCUUUUAGACAACGUCUGACAUUUAAUGCUGAGGUCUGCUGAUUGAUUUCAUUUGCUAUGUUAAAUGUGAGGCCUCGUGUGUUUUUCUAAGUUCCUGAAUCCAUCUAAACACUAAGAUUACCAAAGUAAAACAUGCAGCAAAUGCAGAAAUGAAUGUUUGUACAAUGAGCCAAUGACCAUACCAUCUAUAUUUCAGUCCCCGUUUCAUAAAUUUAUUUUUAUAACUUUGCAUUUAAAUGUAUUCAACUGCCAUUUGUGCUAUCGAUACUAUUGCUGUAGAUUCAUUCAUUAUAAGGAGCCUUAUUUCCUGGAAAGUACCCCAUAAUAACAUCAGCUAACUUAAUUUCAGUAGUCAUUUAUUGAAGCUGUUAAAGUGUGCCUCUGAAAUCACUCUGACAAUCUAAUCAGCGGAAUGGUUUCUGUAAAAGACGAACAGAUGUGCGUUGAGUCAUUGUCUUCUUCUGUCAGCAAUGGUUUCUUCCACAGAAAAGCAUGAAGUCCUCAGUGCCUCACAUGCAGAAAACUGCUGUUAGGAAUAACACAGCUUAAAGAGAACUUCCUAGGAUCAUCAAGAACUUCGAACUGAGAUGUUCACCCACAGAGAAGAAGGCUUUGGGACAUCCAAACUCCAGGACUGUAAUCUACUGAGGAGGGUGCUAGAAAAUGUUGCCUCCAGAGCAGAGCUUGUUCAACACUGGCAGCAUGUGGGUGUAGUGCUUCUGAAUGCACAUCGAGGUAAAGACUCUUGAACGGCUGGCUUAUGACAAGAAGGGCAGGAUCCUGAUACAAUCCAUGUGGAAGGUUGCUUCUCCUCCAAGGGGAUGGACUUCCUCAGAGUUCUGCUUAAGAGCUCCGCAGUUAAUGAAGAUCCGGAUAAAAUCGUCCUCUAAGAACAACGCCCAAAACAAUUAGGGAUGAUCUGUGGAUUCUCCAGCCUGAGCAACACUAAAGUGACUCAAGAUCAGAACGUUGAGAUUUUGGACCUCUGGUCUGGAAACUCCACAGAUCUGAACCACACCAAGGACCUGUGGUGAUUUCUCAGAAAACAGCUGGAGAAAUAGAGGCUGAUAGACUGUAAUGAACUCCAAGCACCAAGAAGACAAGAAUGGGUCAUCAUUGGUCAUGCUCUGGUCUAGAAGUUGAUAUCCAACCUGUAAGAGAGAAAAACAGAAGAAGGUCAACAGUGGAGAUACUGCAUUAAAAAGCUUAUGUAAUUACUAAUAAAACCUUUAGAAUCUUAUGGAACGUCUUCUUCUUCUAUCCCAUUCAACAGGAACAUGUAAAAACCUUGAAGCUACAUGUCAUCUAAUUGUUCUAUAAUCUACAGUUUAGGUUGAACUGAAGGGAACUUCAGAGCUUGACAAUAAGAGACGGAGGUCUGGAUCUCUGUGACCCUCGGAGCAGGCAGUGAACUAGAAAAGCUGCAGCAUGGAAGAACAAAAAUGCUUUUCAGCCAUUCAGCUUCAUCAAGCACAGGGGCCACUUUGCAGCAGCUUUGACCUUUGUUUGUUUUUCCUCUUUUUCAAUGAGAUGGACAGAGGGAUAGAGCGGCUGAAUGGAGGACAGCAGAGCUUACGUAAGCCCAUUUUAUGCUCAUUCAGGAAAAUCUGUGCGUCAGGAUUUGUUGCUUCAAUCCACAGCAAGACUUUUAUCUGCAGACAGAAAGGCCAACUCAACGCAGUCUCACUCCAGAACAGGCCGUGUUUGUCCCCCCAAACAUUCAAUUUUCAAGAAUCUAAAACUGAUUAAUAAUUUUCAAAAUUCAAUCGUGCAAGACACCACCCAGCACCACACAUGACAAAAAUCUAAUAAAAAUAGAAAUAAAUACAUAAGUAUUAGUCAGAAUUCUAUUGAGAGCACUAAUAAAUAAAUACUAAAAUCCAUAACAAAGUGCAGUCAUAUUUAAUAAAUCAGAAUACGUGUUCCGAUGAGGCUCGUUUGUCAGAUUAAAAGUACCGUUAAAAUAAACCAACAUUUAAGCAGCUUAUAAACAUACUUUUUAUUAGCUUUACGUGGAAAAAUCUUCAUUAUUAACAGAAAUAAAAGCUUUAAAACAUCAGUCUGGGUGUUUUAAAGCCGGACUGAUGUAUUUCAGGGAAUUAAGUUAAUAAAAUAAAUAAACCUUUUAAUAAUAUUCUAAUUUAUUGAAUAUGAUCAAAACAAAUUCAUUUGAAACUGGAAGUCAUUAUUUGUAAUCUUUUGUAUGAAUUGAUUUAUUUCAUGUUUUGUUUUUUGCUGCAGUGAACCACAUGGCUUGUAGAACAGGCUCCAACAUCAGAUUGGUUAAUCCACGCAGGAAGUCCACCUUAAAUCAGUUAUAUUGACCCCUUCCACUUCCUUUACUGUAUAACUACACAUAUUUUUAAAAACAACAUAUUCUGUCAGAUUUAUUUAUGUAUUUGUAUAUUUAUUAAGAUAUUUGAUCAUUUAAUUUCAGUCUUAAAUGAAUAUUAAGACAUCUGAGUAAUUAUUUGUGGCUAAUUUUAAUGGAUUUGAUGCGGUUUUGGACCUCUAUAUUAAACGUUCUCAACAGCA